GCCACCUUAGCUCAGUGGUAGAGCAACUGUUUCGUAAAUAGUAGGUCGUGGGUUCAAGUCCCUCAGGUGGCU
rnacentral:tRNA from 1 species